CGGGUUGCCCGUCGCCGACUUGCUCCCUCCAGGGUCCAGGCCAAAGCUCCUUCCUAUGGCCUAUGGGUCAGCUGCUGCUGCGGGUUUUGCAGGUCAUCAUCAUCGGAGCCAUGAGCCUUUUAAGCUCAGGAGCCUCCCCAGUUCAACAAUGCAGCGCCUGACAUCAUCAUCUACACGAGACGUAGUUUGGCCCCCCAUCAUCAGUCUUUGGGCGAUGUGAACUGAUGUUAUAUACUACUCCUAUGUUAAUAUUAAUAGUUUCGUCUACCCACUACUAUAUGUGUUCGCAUAUAAAGUGUGAUGCUGUUAAUUUUAAUUUAAUUUGCCUA